rnacentral:rRNA from 1 species
AGGGCGUUUGGGGGAGGCUUAUCCAUGCAGUCGAGCGGCAGCGGGAAAGUAGCUUGCUACUUUUGCCGGCGAGCGGCGGACGGGUGAGUAAUGCCUGGGAAAUUGCCCAGUCGAGGGGGAUAACAGUUGGAAACGACUGCUAAUACCGCAUACGCCCUACGGGGGAAAGCAGGGGACCUUCGGGCCUUGCGCGAUUGGAUAUGCCCAGGUGGGAUUAGCUAGUUGGUGAGGUAAUGGCUCACCAAGGCGACGAUCCCUAGCUGGUCUGAGAGGAUGAUCGGCCACACUGGAACUGAGACACGGUCCAGACUCCUACGGGAGGCAGCAGUGGGGAAUAUUGCACAAUGGGGGAAACCCUGAUGCAGCCAUGCCGCGGGUGUGAAGAAGGCCUUCGGGUUGUAAAGCACUUUCAGCGAGGAGGAAAGGUCAGUAGCUAAUAUCUGCUGACUGUGACGUUACUCGCAGAAGAAGCACCGGCUAACUCCGUGCCAGCAGCCGCGGUAAUACGGAGGGUGCAAGCGUUAAUCGGAAUUACUGGGCGUAAAGCGCACGCAGGCGGUUGGAUAAGUUAGAUGUGAAAGCCCCGGGCUCAACCUGGGAAUUGCAUUUAAAACUGUCCAGCUAGAGUCUUGUAGAGGGGGGUAGAAUUCCAGGUGUAGCGGUGAAAUGCGUAGAGAUCUGGAGGAAUACCGGUGGCGAAGGCGGCCCCCUGGACAAAGACUGACGCUCAGGUGCGAAAGCGUGUGGAGCAGACGGGAUUAGAUACCCUGGUAGUCCACGCCAUAAACGAUCUCUAUUGGAGGCUGUGUCCUUGAGACGUGGCUCCCGGAGCUAACGCGUUAAAUCGACCGCCUGGGAGUACGGCCGCAGGGUUAAACUCAAAUGAAUUGACAGGGGCCCGCACAAGCGGUGGAGCAUGUGGUUAAUUUCGAUGCAACGCGGAGAACCUUACCUGGCCUUGACAUGUCUGGAAUCCUGCAGAGAUGCGGGAGUGCCUUCG